rnacentral:misc_RNA from 1 species
GAGCACGCGAAAAAGAGUUCUGCUUCCGUUUUGGAGGGAGUUUACACAGAAUGCAAUCAAGGGUGUUUUAUUUUCCUGGGAAGGAAAGCAAACCUGAUUACGAACCUCGUAUUUCCCGUCGCGUGAACGAGAUACUUCGUCAAUCUUCACCUCAAGCUCGCUCAAGAACUUCUUUGCAAAGUAACUGGCAACCGUAUGCGCCUAUUCUGAGCAUUCACUCACAGUUGAGGCAAGAAGCCGAAAGCAGGAGCCCGUCUCGCGCAAGUGUGAAGCAUCCAAUGCGCGCCUCCUCUGUUUCCUCUCUCACACCACACGGAUCACAGGUGGUGUCGCCGUCACGACUUCGCUAUGUAGGGGCUGAGUUGACGAAACGAGUGAGUCCAAGUGACCUCCUUCGUGGAGCGUCUGUGACAAAAUUCCGUCAGCAAAGCUCUUCGCAGUGUAUUUGGGACUCACCUAGGCAUCCUAAAGCAUCAAACACACUCCCAGUGAAUAAUGAAUCGUUCAGCACAGUCCUACCAUGUUCGCUUCAUCCUCUGUUGCAGCAAGCGUUGCUGCUCAUCGAGUCUGCGGAGUUCGAAGAACGGUUCGCAUUUUGUCAGGAGGAGAUGGACGCCUUUGAUUCGAUAAUCACCGUACUCGGUGUGGCGAAGGAGGUCGAGGUUAUUCGCCUUGCUGCCUUUGAAAUGUUCCACAUCGAAAGGGCGUCCCGACGCGCACUCAAGCGUCAAGAACGACAUGAGCGGCAGAUUCUCCGGCUUUGGUACUCCGAGAGCUAUGAAGAUGCUCUGCUCUCGGAGGAAGUGCGGGUAAUUCGGCAACAAUCUGAGGAAUCAAGAAGCUUUUUUAGUAACUCGCUUUCGCGCUCGCGAAGCACUUCUCUGAAACAGCAAUCACAGGAUCUUUUCGACAUGGCUGCGCCUCGGAAUGGCUCUCCCUCGUCCAAAAAAGUGCCACGCUUACAAAAAAGGGACAAAAUAGCUCAUAUGGCUUCGCUUUUGUUCUCUGCAUCGAAAAGGCAGGGAGAAGGCAUUCGAGGCUCUUCUCCCACGGACAACUGUGACGAAGUACUGCACAGCUCGCCUCGAGUGUUGUCGCCGAUGCCAUCAGAGCCGUAUUUUUCACACACCAUCGGCUCAUCUCAUUUGUCGCACAGAUCUAGCGACUCGGUAAACGUUGCAGACAGACGUAGAUAUUAUCGCGAGUACGGUGACCAUUGUCGGAGGACACUUGAAAGCAUGGAGGCUGACCUGGAAGAUCGUAUCGCCAGACAAGAAGCUUUACUGCUGCCCGCAAGACAGAGCUAUCAAAGCAGCUCCCCCUUUUCUCUGAUUAGACGGCAGGCUCCCCUGCUCCUGCCGAAGUCAGCAGAGGAUUAAACUAUGAAGCACAAACUUAGGAGUGGAUGCCUGUGCUGUGCUCUUUGCCUUUUUUUGGUACGUCUCUGCGAGUAGGGCCCCUUUUUUCCUUGAUGCUCAAUCGCUUUCUUUUCCUUUUUCUUUCGCACCCAUAAUUGUGCUACUACUUUUACAGAUGUCAGGCUAGUGCCCCUCUUUGAAGAGGUUUUCUGUUUUUUUUUCUCUGUGUGUGUUCUCUGCCCCUCGUCGUUUUAUUGUGGCUCUGUACCUGGUGUGCGCGUUAAGGCAAUUGGGCGCCCGCACCAGAGGCAUAGGUGCACAUAUUUCGACACUGGCCAGCGAUAUUGCCAGCAUGCAUGCUACGCGGAGGAAAAAAAAAACUUAUCGAGGCCGUCUUCUUCGAGUUCAGUGAAAAGCAGUGGCCUUUGCUCGUUGACUAUGUUUAUCGGCAUGCUACCCACUUCGCCUUCUCGUGGUUUAGUAGUGCAGAAGCAACGAGGCAGCGAAAUGUCGACAAAGAAACGAAAAGAAACACAAAGCUUGAUUGCUCUGUCAAGGACUAUCCAUCAUGCUCCCGCAUGAGGUACUCUCGGAUGCCACAAGCAAUGUACUCUGUCCUUCUCUUUCUUCAACCUCUCUCUCACAAG